rnacentral:pre_miRNA from 1 species
UUAGUUGGUCCUAAGUCAAACUUCUCUAACUUUGAUCCAAGUUUAUAAACAAACAUAUUAAUGUCUACAUUACCGAAUAAAUGCACUAUCAAGACAUAUUUUACGGUAGAUUUUAUGAAACUAAUUUGAUGUUGUGGAUAUUGUUGCAUUUUUUAAUAAACUUGAUCAAAGUUACAGAAGUUUUACUUAGGACAAAACUCA